ACCAGGAAACCGCGAGGGCUCAAGGCUGCGGCGUGGGACACUGGCUCUGGAAGCGGUCCCUGCUGCAGCGUGGCUUUCGCUCCCCCGUCACUCAGGUCAACUCCUUAGUUCUGUGUUUGAUGGUCAGGGUUUGUAGAUUGUCCUUUAUGUAAUCAGUUCACUUGUUUUUUCGAGUCUUUGUUUCAAGAAGUAUAAGCGGAAUCUUCUACCUAGUCAGCCAUCUUGGUCCUGCCCCCGUGUCUGCCUCUUUAUGUGAUUUGGUAUUGACUGUUGUCUCUGAGCAAUCUAUAAGUUAUUGUAUUAGUUUAUUUUAUGCUUGCUUUUUGUAUCCUAGCUUCUUGCUUUGUUUAGUUUUGGUAUUCCCAAAUAAGCUGCUUGAGUGCGCUAGGUUGAUUAUUUUCACCUUUGAAGCUCUAAUGUACUAUCACCAGAUGGCUAGCACUGUUACCAGGUAUAUGAGCCUAGGAGUUCAUUUACUUUUCUUGUAUGCAUUCAACUCAGGUGCCCAGGUAGUUGGUCAUAAAGUGUGUGGUACAGGCUCUGUCCUACCGUCUUAGAGGGGCAGGGGUUAUUGGUGUAGGCAGAAGUAUCUGGCUGCAGUAGGGGGUCAGGCUCUGAUCAAGGCAGGGGUCUGACAGCUGUCCUCUGAGUGUCUGUGAGGAAAGUGCAUCCCUGUUCUGUAGAGCACACGGGUGGGUUCUGCAGAAGGGCGAUGGGUACCCAAUGCUUUUGGUUGUAAGUUCUGGGAGGUACUACUUACCCUUGGAGCCCUGUCACAGGAGGCUAGGUAUUGUGGGUGGAGCCACCAGUCCUUAGGCCCCUGAUGUGGGUAGGUGAAGACGCCGUUUAAUAGGCAAAGCAGUGUCAAACAUCAAACACCCAUCUUUCCACCGUUCAGCUGAAACAGUUGCAGUCUGGCGACAAGGGCCUAUUCUCCUGAAAUGGGCCCACACAGGUCCAUGCUGGGGUGAAAGGUAUUCAAAGCCCAUGGACUGUUUGUGCCUGAACAAGAGCUGCUUCUGUCCUGAGCUCCCCAGCUUAAUUGAGCUGGCAGAUUAUCUUUCCCCCAGUUGUGAACUUAUACCUUCUUCAAGGAUGGAAAAAUGGCUCAGAGUGGUACCAGGGCCUAUCUCAGGCCCAGGGAAGUUGACAGCCACUGAAGCCGGCUUGGGGGCUGGGGGCGUGGUAAAAUAAACACAAGUAAUUAGCUUUUGCUGAGAGUGCCGUUCUUCUCUUGUUCUGGAGGUGUGAGUAGUCUGUGCAACUUGCUGUCCUUCCCUGAGCUAAACGCCUCUGGAACACUACUGCCAGCCCCGCUGCAGUCGCUCCAGGGAACGGUGCCUGAGGGUUCCUGGCUGUUCAGGUCCAGUAACUCCUCUCCACUUCUGAAUAGUCUCUCCCUCCCCCUGCCGCUGAGUCCAUUUUCUAACUUUACCUUUGAUGUUCAGGGCUCCUAGCUUGUCAUAAAUAUAAUCGCUUCACUUGUUUUUUCUGGUCUUUUUUGUAAGAGGGAUCACUGGUGGCGUCUCAAUACUCAAAACUUCAUCAUUUCUUCCUUUCACUUUAGCUACUCGACAUUCAAGAGCAACGUUCAGAGUCUCUUCCGACAUCCGUUUUGGUCUUUUCUUUCUUUCCUGUCUUUUAAAGGAUCUCUUGCUUUCCUCAUGUGUGAUGUCCUUGAUGUCAUUCCACAACUCGUCUGGUCUUCAGUCGUUAGUGUUCAACACGUAAAAUGUGUUCUUGAGGUGGUCUCUAAAUACAGGUGAGAUAUACUCAAGGUCAUAUUUUGGCCCCUUUUGACUUAUUCUAAUUUUCUUCCGUUUCAACUUGAACUCCCAUAUGAGCAAUUGACAGUCUGUUUCACAAUCGAUCCCUGGCCUUGUUCUGACUGAUGAUAUGAGUUUUCCCAUCUUCUCUUUCCACAGAUGUAGUCAGUUUGAUUCCUGUGUAUUCCAUCUGGUAAAGUCCACGUGUAUAGCUGCCGUUUAUGUUGGUGAAAAAAAAUAUUUGCAGUGGAUGAGUCACUGGUCUUGCAAAAUUCUUUCAUGAGAUUUCUGGCGUCAUUUAUUUCAGUGAUGCUGUAUUUUCCAACUACUUUUCCUUCUUUGUUUCCAACUUUAACAUUCUAAUGACCAGUAAUUAUCAAUGCAUCUUGAUUGCAUCUUUGAUCAAUUUCAGGCUGCAGAAGUUGUUUAAAAUCUUCAAUUUCUUUAUCUUUGGCAUUAGUGGUUGGUGCAUAAAUUUGAAUAGUCAUAUAAACUAGUCUUCCUUGUAAGUGUAUGGAUUUUAGCCUAUCAGUGACAACAUUGUACUUCAGGCUAGAUCUUGAAAUGUUCUCUUUGAUGAUAUGUAACGUCAUUCUUUUGACUCUGGUGGAAUAUCCAUGUUUGUAAGACUGCUCACAGACUGUUUUACCAGAGAGUUUUCUGGUACUGCAACAUCUACCACUAAUCUCUGUGAUCCCUUUGAAUUGGCAAAAUAAGAAUAGUGCUAUAGAUUUCUUCCAAAUACAGAAAACAUAAGUAUGAAAAUGUUCUUGCUGUUGAUUAUAUUCUUUACCAAUCUGUUUGUAUGGGAUUUUUGGUACUUCACUUGAAAAAUGAGUCCAAGGUACUGUGAUGUGAUUGUUUACUUUGUGUGGCCUUUCUAGCCAUGGUCUUAUAACAUCCACCCUGGUGCUUGGGCAGGACUGUGUGAUAGGGUAAUUGUGGCUCACCAAGAGGAUUGUUUAUUUUGCCUUCAAAGAGAACCAGUUCCAGAGCAAAGAGGAGGAUUCAACUCCCAUCAAGGAAGAACAGCCAAGAGCCGAGCGUAUAUUAUGGACCUGAGAUCCCUGCACUGAGAAGCUCCUAGAAGCAGGAGACUGAGAUAGAGAGAGGAAGCUGUAACCCUGAAGAUGCUUAAAUACAGACCAGAAGAGGAGUUUGGGGCUUGACACCUGACAUCUUAACACCAGUUCCUGUUUCUUGAGGAAGGAAGAGGUAAAAUAAAUCAGCGUUUGCUGUUUCCUUCUCCAUCCCCGGAAGUCCUGAUGAAGACCCUCUCAGGUAAGGAUUGACAGGGAGUGGCUUGGUUUACUAUUCAACUUUGUCCUUCAGUAACUUUGUUUAUGUCCUGCAUGUAAACUGUUGUGCAUUGAGAAGCAUUCUAAUUCUUGUGCAGAAGGACUAGACCUCCUGCAGAAUGACUAUAUUGUGCCUCCCUCGGGCACCCCUGUCUGCGCAGCACCCCCCAACGCCAACUGCCCAACCGCCUCUCUCCUGGCAUUCUGCUUCUAGAAGCAUGUUCUUUUGAUGCAGAGAUGCAGCACACACAGAAUCCCAGCUGGAUUACAGACUUGAACCUGAAGACCUUAUGCAGAAUGACAAUUUAUGAACCACUAAGCUCAGUACUAAAGCAGCUUCAACUUGAACGUGAAUAUGAGCAACUGAUCAUCUGUUCUGCAGUCAGCCCCUGCCCUGAUUCUGACUCAUGAUAUUGACCAAGUGAAGAGUGAUUCAGAGAAAAACAUGGAUAGAGUGUGACCUAAUUUCCAUAAAAACAAACAAAUGAAUGUACUUACAUGUGUCCCGGCAAAAAGAAGUGUGUAAAAGGGUACAUAUGUAUCUUUGGACACUGGACACUUCAGGGGAGCAGGUAUAAUAUACUUAUGUGGGGAUGGCUCUUAUUAUAACUUCUAUAUACAAAUCUCUAUUGUUAAAUGUGUUAUAAGAAUGUAAAAGCUUUUAAAGUUUAAUAACAUCAUACGUGUAUGUGUGUGUAUUUGAAACUUUUUUUCUUUUGACUAUUUUAUAUAUGUGUUUUUUAGUUAUCUAGUUUUUUUUUAGUGUGGCUAUAGCAGAGAUACCAAAAGUGGAUGGCUUUAACAAACAGAAACUUAUUCUCUCACAGUUUAAGAAGCAACAAGUUUGAAGUCAGGGCACCAGGUCUAGGAGAAAGCUCUCUCUCUUUGUGGCUCUGGGGGAAGGUCCUUGUCAUCUAUCUUCCCCUGGCCUAGGAAAUUCUCAGCGCGUGGACACUGGGUCAAAAAGACGUGCUCCACUCCAGGCACUUCUUCCUUGGUGGUAUGAGGUCCCUCUCAUUUCCGCUCACUCUUCUCUUUGUAUCUCAAAAGAGACUGACUCAAGACUCACCCUAAUCCUGUAGAUUGUGUCCUCCCUCAUUAACCUAACUGCCUCUAAUCCCGCCUUAUUUACAUCACAGAGGUUAGAAUUUACAACACAUAAGUAAUCACAUCAGAUCACAAAAUGCAGGACAACCACACAAUACUGGGAAUCAUGGUCUGGCCAGGUUGGCACACGUUUUGGGGGACACUAUUCAAUCCAUAACAACAGAGAAAACACUGUCUUCAAUGCCAGAUUCAGAGACUUUUAUCAAUCUAUGAAGGGCAAACACAGAAAUUGAACAAAAUUCAGACCAGCGAAUUAUUGCUUGCUCUUGUAACUAAUGACUUCUUCUGGUCUCUGUACCUGGAAAUGGCCAAAAAGAAUUCUGUGAGGAUUAAUUCAGUUAUUGCUAAAACAUCUACUGCAUUUACAUGUCUACAGAUAAGGAAUAAUGCUGGACACCAUGUGUGAUUCAUUAAGUAACACAGGGACUAUUAGACUGUUGUUCUCCUUCUCUGAUAUGCCACUAUCACCUUCUCCCCUUGUUGCUCUCCUGAAAAACCCACACUUGUAUAUUCUAGGCUUUUUUCCAGGAUUGAAUUUGCAGGAAGUUGAAGAUACAUCUUUGAAAGAUAAAGAAGACUUUGGCCACAUUGUCUUUAGACAGUCGAACUUCCCAGCCAGCCUCUGUGCAGGAUGGGAAUUCACAAUCCCUCCUACUCAGUACCUCUGAGCAGGACGGGAUUUCUGUUUCAUUAUCAGGAGACUGUGGAA